CCUGAUUGAUUUUGGUCGCCAACGAGUGGCGGACGGGUGAGUAACACGUAGGUAACCUGCCCAGAAGCGGGGGACAACAUUUGGAAACAGAUGCUAAUACCGCAUAACAGCGUUGUUCGCAUGAACAACGCUUAAAAGAUGGCUUCUCGCUAUCACUUCUGGAUGGACCUGCGGUGCAUUAGCUUGUUGGUGGGGUAACGGCCUACCAAGGCGAUGAUGCAUAGCCGAGUUGAGAGACUGAUCGGCCACAAUGGGACUGAGACACGGCCCAUACUCCUACGGGAGGCAGCAGUAGGGAAUCUUCCACAAUGGGCGCAAGCCUGAUGGAGCAACACCGCGUGAGUGAAGAAGGGUUUCGGCUCGUAAAGCUCUGUUGUUAAAGAAGAACACGUAUGAGAGUAACUGUUCAUACGUUGACGGUAUUUAACCAGAAAGUCACGGCUAACUACGUGCCAGCAGCCGCGGUAAUACGUAGGUGGCAAGCGUUAUCCGGAUUUAUUGGGCGUAAAGAGAGUGCAGGCGGUUUUCUAAGUCUGAUGUGAAAGCCUUCGGCUUAACCGGAGAAGUGCAUCGGAAACUGGAUAACUUGAGUGCAGAAGAGGGUAGUGGAACUCCAUGUGUAGCGGUGGAAUGCGUAGAUAUAUGGAAGAACACCAGUGGCGAAGGCGGCUACCUGGUCUGCAACUGACGCUGAGACUCGAAAGCAUGGGUAGCGAACAGGAUUAGAUACCCUGGUAGUCCAUGCCGUAAACGAUGAGUGCUAGGUGUUGGAGGGUUUCCGCCCUUCAGUGCCGGAGCUAACGCAUUAAGCACUCCGCCUGGGGAGUACGACCGCAAGGUUGAAACUCAAAGGAAUUGACGGGGGCCCGCACAAGCGGUGGAGCAUGUGGUUUAAUUCGAAGCUACGCGAAGAACCUUACCAGGUCUUGACAUCUUGCGCCAACCCUAGAGAUAGGGCGUUUCCUUCGGGAACGCAAUGACAGGUGGUGCAUGGUCGUCGUCAGCUCGUGUCGUGAGAUGUUGGGUUAAGUCCCGCAACGAGCGCAACCCUUGUUACUAGUUGCCAGCAUUAAGUUGGGCACUCUAGUGAGACUGCCGGUGACAAACCGGAGGAAGGUGGGGACGACGUCAGAUCAUCAUGCCCCUUAUGACCUGGGCUACACACGUGCUACAAUGGACGGUACAACGAGUCGCGAACUCGCGAGGGCAAGCAAAUCUCUUAAAACCGUUCUCAGUUCGGACUGCAGGCUGCAACUCGCCUGCACGAAGUCGGAAUCGCUAGUAAUCGCGGAUCAGCAUGCCGCGGUGAAUACGUUCCCGGGCCUUGUACACACCGCCCGUCACACCAUGAGAGUUUGUAA
rnacentral:rRNA from 2 species